GAUGAACGCUGGCGGCGUGCCUAAUACAUGCAAGUCGAGCGAACAGACGAGGAGCUUGCUCCUCUGACGUUAGCGGCGGACGGGUGAGUAACACGUGGAUAACCUACCUAUAAGACUGGGAUAACUUCGGGAAACCGGAGCUAAUACCGGAUAAUAUAUUGAACCGCAUGGUUCAAUAGUGAAAGACGGUUUUGCUGUCACUUAUAGAUGGAUCCGCGCCGCAUUAGCUAGUUGGUAAGGUAACGGCUUACCAAGGCAACGAUGCGUAGCCGACCUGAGAGGGUGAUCGGCCACACGGGAACUGAGACACGGUCCAGACUCCUACGGGAGGCAGCGGUAGGGAAUCUUCCGCAAUGGGCGAAAGCCUGACGGAGCAACGCCGCGUGAGUGAUGAAGGUCUUCGGCUCGUAAAACUCUGUUAUUAGGGAAGAACAAAUGUGUAAGUAACUAUGCACGUCUUGACGGUACCUAAUCAGAAAGCCACGGCUAACUACGUG
rnacentral:rRNA from 1 species